GAAAACAGUUAUUUUCCUUGACCA
rnacentral:snRNA from 1 species